rnacentral:lncRNA from 1 species
ACGCUCAACAUAAUACGUGAACUAAAUAUUUAGAGAAUAUUCAGAUGAUAUAUUAAAGAAACCAAAUCUCAUGAGAUACUAAAUCUGGGCCACGCUCAAAUGUUGAAACAACAUGUUAGGACAUAUUGUUCAACAUCUAUCAAUAAUACUUAUUUUUCCAAAAUGCAAUCAACCACUACAUUUCAGGAGAAAAUCCACACAUUUUCCUCUGAACUUCUUGCUU